CCGACUUAUAAUUACUAACCAUCAGAGUGGCGCAGCGGAAGCGUGGUGGGCCCAUAACCCACAGGUCCCUGGAUCGAAACCAGGCUCUGAUAUAAAAAAGAGAAGCUUCUCCCACUUUAACAGGAUUUUGGGGAAAAUGGCAUGACUUGAUACUUGAACUGCAGAUAGAGAGAAGUAUGUGGAAAAAUUUGCCGUGUCUACACCAACACUUCUAUUUAAUCUUGAACUAGACACACUACGGAAUUCACAAAGACACAAACAAAUGCUAUACAUACAACAUCAACAAAGUCUUAUUUCACUUGAGGAGAGAAGCUCUCUACAAUUUCUUCGAAGAGGCUACAAGGCAAGCACAUGGUGGGAAGAAGAUUUUGAUUUGGAAGCAUCUUCUGCAUGGAGGAGCUGAUCACUACACUAUAAAACUAAUAUAAGAGAUUCUCUCUGUUUUUUUUGUUAUUUAAAUGUAAGUAUUAUGUAAUAUUCCCAAUUUUCUGUUCAGUUUGAAACCAAUGUGACCCAUUUUGUGGCAUUUAUAGUUGAAUUGUUGCAAACAAAUAUCAGAUGGAAUUUCCAAACCCAAUUGUAACAAAUCAUAUUGUGGGAAUCCACCAAAGUAUACCAGCAAUUAGUUUGAUAAAAGGUUAAAGAAACCCAUCAUAUCCCUGAAAAGACCAUUAAUCUCUCUAUCUUGCGGAAUUGAUUUGGAUCCUCUCAUACUUAGAAUAAAAAAGUUUGCUCUAA